rnacentral:lncRNA from 1 species
AGGAAUGUUGGAACAGAGCCGUUGCAGAGCUCGAGUAACUCGUCCAUGGCGGCUAGGUAAUUAACUAAUUUUAUAUGUAUGAUAAAAAAGAGAUAUUAGAUAACUUCCAUUCGAUCUGAUCCGGAGCAAUGUCGUUCUUCCCUGGACCGUUGAGAUUUCUGUGCAUAAUAACUAACCGGUGUCGAGGAAUCUCUGCCGUUGAGAGCAAUGGGAAUCUUUAGAUCUGGAUCGUUUAUUCGGUUAUGGUUAGUUUCCUUCCUUGGAUUCCCUUAGUCAGGGAGUUGAGCAACUUUCUUUACUCAGCUUCCCCUCUGUUACUUUCACAGCAUUUACCAUCGCCUAACCGCCU